rnacentral:rRNA from 1 species
UACGGGGGGGGCAAGCGUUGUUCGGAAUUACUGGGCGUAAAGGGUUCGUAGGUUGCCUACUAAGUCAGACGUGAAAUCCCUCAGCUUAACUGGGGAACUGCGUCUGAGACUGAUUGGCUCGAGGACAGGAGAGGAACGCGGAAUUCCAGGUGUAGCGGUGAAAUGCGUAGAUAUCUGGAGGAACACCGGUGGCGAAGGCGGCGUUCUGGACUGUUUCUGACACUGAAUAACGAAAGCCAGGGGAGCAAACGGG